rnacentral:piRNA from 1 species
UGCUUGCCCUAACAUUCUGCGCAUCCUCAC